UGAAGUUUGCUAAAUGCAAUCGGUUCAGAGC
rnacentral:piRNA from 1 species